AUUGAACGCUGGCGGCAGGCCUAACACAUGCAAGUCGAGCGAGCGGCGGACGGGUGAGUAAUGUAUGGGGACUGCCCGAUAGAGGGGGAUAACUACUGGAAACGGUGGCUAAUACCGCAUACUAUCGGAUAACCCAUAUGGGAUUAGCUAGUAGGUGGGGUAAAGGCUCACCUAGGCGACGAUCUCUAGCUGGUCUGAGAGGGUGAUCAGCUGAACGCGGACUGAGACACGGACCAGAUUCCUACGGAGGCAUCAGUGGGUAGUAUUGCACAAUGGGCGAGAGCCUGGGACGGCCAGGCCGCGUGGAUGAAGAAGGCCUGAGGGUUGUAAAGUACUGUCAGCGGGUAGGCGUUACCCGCAGAAGAAGCAGGGGCUAACUCCGUGCCAGCAGCCGCGGUAAUAC
rnacentral:rRNA from 1 species